rnacentral:rRNA from 1 species
CGGCACCUCAAGUGGUCAGGAUGAUUAUUGGGCCUAAAGCAUCCGUAGCCGGCUCUGUAAGUUUUCGGUUAAAUCUGUACGCUCAACGUACAGGCUGCCGGGAAUACUGCAGAGCUAGGGAGUGGGAGAGGUAGACGGUACUCGGUAGGAAGGGGUAAAAUCCUUUGAUCUAUUGAUGACUACCUGUGGCGAAGGCGGUCUACCAGAACACGUCCGACGGUGAGGGAUGAAAGCUGGGGGAGCAAACCGGAUUAGAUACCCGAGUAGUCC